rnacentral:lncRNA from 1 species
CUGCCCACACAGGACCAUUCCUCUCGCCUGGACUCCUCUUGGAGUUUGCCAACGUUGCCACCUGAGACACAGACAUGGCUUCUCUUGGAUAAAUUGGCAGCCGGCACCAGCGAGAGGCCAUUUCCUCUCAGAGGGGCAUGCGUACCACUUCCUAAACACAGUGUGUGUGCUCACCUCCCAAGGAACUGAGCUGGCCUCUGCAGAAAUGGAGACUCCUGGAGGAAGACAGUGGACUUCAGCAAGCUGCACCAAGGAGAAUCCACAGCGGCAGCUGCCCUGCCAGGCGCGGGAUCUCGGUCAAGGUGGAUCAACACAGCCUCAGGUGUGUGCUCUGCCCCACUGAGACGGCAAGUGCAUUCUUUUCUAUUCCUAUGAGGAAAGAGCAUCCGAAAGAGCCUGCCUUCACAUAGGAUGAAUAACAGUGGACCUUGGCUUUGCCUCAGUGUUAUGUGCUAAUAAACCAUGUAUUCUAUGCCCUAAGGAAGCCCAGAGAGAGCUGGACAAGCUGGAUAUCCGAAAGAGCAUGGCACUGGCCCACCACAUUGAUUACAUUGCACUGGCCGGGUGCUAACCAAGAAGCAGCUAACACACUGGGAGUCUUGGUAAGAUGCCUGAGUGCCUGCAGCUGGCAGACAAAUCCUACAAAGAUUCUGGGAACUGCCACUAAUAACACUCUUGGUGGGGAGGUCCCAUAACCAGGAGCAUACUGGGCCUCCCGUCCAUAGCAAAGAGCCAAUUAAUGCAUCUUGCAUCUCCCAUGACCAAGAGAGACAGACAAUGUCAGUAUGCCUUCUGGAGGCAGCACGUUCUACACACAUGAAGACCACUCCAGCCUAUGUACCAUUGAUACGAGAAGCUGUCGGCCUUCCCUGAGCCUGCAGCAGGUCGAGGCUGCAGUGCUGGCAGCCCUGUGACUCAGGCCCUGCAGCUGGUCAGACCCUGUGUUAUGAGAGGUAUCAAACGUGGGAAAGCAAUGCUGUGUGUUUAUGGCAAGCCACUAUGCCAGAAUCACAGUGCAGGCCCCUGGGAUUCAGAAACAAAGCCAUGCCAUCUGCGGCAGAGGAUUCUGCAAAAAAUUCUGAAAAGUCCCUGCUGAUAUGCUCCUGGGGCCUGGGGUGAUGGAAUACCUGAUUGUGCAUGUGGACCUGCUCAGAUGAGCUGGAUUCUGUCUCACCCCUGGGUCAUGAGGUUGGGGACUCAGAAAUAACCCAUCACAGGUGGGAGUGUGCGUGUGGCAGCAGCAGAAGCAGGAGCAGGAGGCCAAGCAGCGGCAGCUGCCCAGUACCCCUCCACCCUCCACAGCAGUCCCCACAGCCUCAGUGGAGGAACCUUCUGGUGAACUGAGGAGGGAGGGACAAGCCUGGCCUCAGUUCAUGGAGGUGUCUGCUCUGCCUGUGGGGCCAGCCCAAAUUGCCUGGCUGCCAUACUCCAGUCUCAGCAAGCUGCCCUUUAAAGAGGGUGAUAUGGUUUGGCUCUGUGUCCCCACCCAAAUCUCACCUUGAACUGUAAUCCCCAGGUGAUGAGGGUGAGACCUGAUGGGAAGUGAUUGGAUCAUGGGGGCUGUUUUCCCCAUGCUGUUCUCGUGACGGUGAAGGAGUUCUCAGGAGAUCUGAUGGUUUUAUAAGUGUCUGGCAAUUCCCCUGCUUGCACUUGUCUUUCUCGCCUGCCACCACGUAAGACGUGCCUGCUUCCCCUUCCGCCAUGAUUGUAAGUUUCCUGAGGCGUCCCCAGCCAUGCAGAACUGUGAGUCAAUGAAACCUCUUUUCUUUAUAAAUUACCCAGUCUUGGGUAGUAUCUUUGUAGCAAUGUGAGAACGGACUAACACAGAGGGUGAUGAGGGAACAUUCUCCCAGUGGUCAUCCCCUCUGUGUAAGUGGCUGUGAGGUUAGAAGAUCUCUGAACCCAUGGGCAAUGGCCAACGACUUUGCCGGCUGAACCCAGAAUGGGAGCGAUGUGGAGAGUGGGGAUGGGCAGUCAGGGAUGAGGCAUGGGUUGGACAUGGGGGAGUGGGCAGGAGGUACAAAGAUCUGUGUGUAACAGGCAGCUGCUCCCAGAGAGCACCUACCGCAGAGGAGGCCUGAACGACCCCUAGGGAAGGUCAGGCAUGGCUGUUUGGGCCAAGCGUGAUGGGAUGGUUCUCUCUCUCCAUGGGGGCUCAAGGCUGCCGUCUCUCUCCCUGUGCCAUCCUCUGCUGCCUCCUUUCCAUGACCCUUGACCCCAAGGGAACUUCAUGAUGAGCCUCCUGCCUGCUAGGCUCCGAAUCUGAGUCUGUUUCCUGGGGACCCGCCUACCACACUGCCACCCUCCCAGAGUAGAGAAACCAGAAGUAACUGAGCAGUGCUGACAUCACAUGGCCAUCCCAAGGUCAAGCUUCUUCCCCUCACGUAUGAAGAACAUUUUCUCUCUCCCACCUGAAGUUCCCGCCAGUCCUACCUGAAGUUCCCGCCAGUCCUGCCCGAAGUGCUACGGCUGCCCUGGCGAUCUAGGUGGUCUCUCCAUUGUGGGUGGUGUCCAGUGGUCCUCAGCGGGUCUGGACAGGCCCUUUCUGGACUGGAGACCUAUGAAGUGGAAAGACAAGUCAUUCACUUUUCUUACCUGUUUACUACGAAAUGCGGGAGCAGAGACAAUAGCAACCAGCCCCCAUUCAGAGAGGGGCAGAGUGGCAAGCACAUGGCAAUCGUGCAGUGCGGCCAGCCUGAGAUCCCAGUGUGGUAGAGGACACUCCUCGGUGUGGCCCUAGCUCUCCUCCCUAGGCAGGCCCCAGUCCAUGUUCUUGGUGGCAGUGACUGGCCUUUCCUUUGGUCUGUCCCCUGGGCCACCCGCAUCCCAGGCACUGGAGAGUCCCCACUUUCUCAGCCUCUCUGCCACUCCUCAAAGAAUGGGAGCCCUGGGCUAUUCUCAAGUUCUCAAACGAUCACAAACGCAGUCUGUGAAUUUACCCACUGGGGAAAAAUGUAUUUGUAACCCCCACAUCAAUACUUGGGGCACUCCGGGUCACUGGACACAUACAGGGAGGGGGAAAGUUUGAGACAUAGGAUGUGCAUGUUCCCAGCUGAGGUCGCACACAGUGACGUUCUGCCUUCUCGUUCUAGCUCAUCCUGUAAACACGGGUCUUUCCAUGAUCUCCUUAGUGACUUUUUUUUUUUUUGGUGGUUUUGCUGUCUAAGUUGGCCCAAGCAUAGUGCUGAUGUGGUCCUAAGCACUGGGAAGCCGGGUGCCAUGUGCCAGACAGAGAAAAAAGGCAGCUUAGAGAAAGCUUCAAUGUGAAUGAGUCAACAAUAUUACACAGGUGUCUUUAAACAGAAACACACAUAAAACAAGAUCGUGUGUGGAUUGAUGAAAAUUUAGUGACCAGAGCUCUCAGGAAACUUAACCCUGUCUUUCUCCUAGGAGCAUGGCUCAUUCAUCUCUAAAUCCGUGUUUACAGUGACUUUUUAGAACAUGAACUGCUGCAGAUAAUGAUAAUUGAUGAUUUUCUUCUAGGUUUAUGGGUCCUUUGGUGUUACCAUCCUCUUAAAAAUGCGUUUGUUUGGCUUCUUACUGAAAUUAUGGAGAGAGACGAUUGC